CCCUGGUGGCUCAGAUGGUAAAGAGUCUGCCUGCAGUGCAGGAGACCCAGGUUCAAUCCCUGGGUCAGGAA
rnacentral:tRNA from 1 species